rnacentral:lncRNA from 10 species
CCGGACACAGGGCAGGCUUUAAGACCCAGCGAUAGUAUUUGUCUGGAGAGGAAAUGUUGCUUUUUGACAGAUGAGAGAAAUCCCCUUAGUGUUGGCUGUGGGAAGAGAGAAGCGAAGUCAGUCACCUGGUGGUGAAGGCCAGUAAAACAGCGAAGCAGGAGGAAAAUUUUUCUCUCCCUCUCUCUUUCUCUCCCUCUUUUUCUCUCCGUUGGAUCCACCUCCUAUUCCCUCAACUCUUUUAGCAUAACCUUCAAAGGAGAACGUUCCCUUCUGACUUGAUUAUCUUCUUUUCCCCACUGAGAAAAUACCUCUCAGCUACAAGACAUUUUUUAAGUCUAUGCAGGACUUCGGGGAUUCUGUUAUCUUGCCGGGGAAACUGAUCAUUGCUAAUGCCUGGGACUGGAGCUAAAUUACCUACCAGAGUAAGCCUGACGGAGGAAGCCUUUUAUCAUACACUCUUCUCUUCAGUUUGAACACAUUUGCUUGAAAUUUGCCGCAUGAUGCUGACCAGGGAAGCAGCUUUUUUUCUCGGGAUGCAGCAAUUCGCUGGGUUCUAAGCUUAUUGCAGAAGAAGAAAUAAUCUUAAAUAGAGUGGAUUUUUUUUUCCUUUUUUCUUUUGGCCCCUGUUUCAAUCGACUCAGCUGUGUUGCACCGCGGUAGAGAUCACCUGUCACUAAAUCUUUGAGGAAGUAAAAUAAAGUGAAUUAUCAUUAUUAUUUAUUUAUUUUCCUUAUUUUUAACCCGGUGGAGGCGGCGUGACCACGGAGAAUGAGACUGAGAGGAGCUGCCGGGGCUUGGAGGAGGAUAAAGCUGAGUUUAAGCUGGAAACUAAAAGACUAGAUUGUUUUUGGGUGCCACUCGCCCGGUUCCUCUCCACUUCGUUUAGUUGCGCUCCAUGGACAGAUCAACGAACCUGGACAUUGAGGAGCUCAAGAUCUCAUGAUGAAUGGUAAUCCUCACAUGUUGAAGGACGGCCUGUUGGGAUGUGAUUGAAUCAUGGGGCAGACUUUC